GAUUAUUCAGUAGACGCCCGGCAAGUGCCACCGAGAGUAAACACUCAAGCGGACAGUUGCGCAUUGUUCGGUCCUCACUUACCGCUUACCGAGCUUACAGGUCGUGAAUCAUUUCCGUAAAUCACCGCGUUGCUAGUUCCGUGUUUGACGGGGGGUGACCCUUUCGAAUGGAUUGAAAGUUUAGCGUGUCGGUCAUUACGAUUAAUGCAUAGUAUUGACACGAGACGAAUUUGAAUAAUUUCCGUGGUUGCGUUCGGACGCACGGCUUUUUGCAUUGUCGCCACUGAGCUGAAGGGCUUCAGUCAGAAUGGGACACUAUUGCGUACUGGUAGGGUUUGUGUUGAUUUGUCUGCUGUUGGGAAACUUUGUGCUGAUGACGGAACGAGAACGAAUCGUUCGAGCCGCGCAGUUAGACGGGAUUAGCUACAAUCAUCGCAGCAGUGUUUCUUUGACAGAUUUCAUGGUACUACCAGAUUGUUAGCUCAAUCACAUUCGAGUGAUCAGUAAAGCGCGUUUCUGCCAUAGGCGACGAUGACGACUGUGGAUGCUGACUCUUUUGAUUUACACCUCGAGAAACAUUCGAUGGCCGAAUCAAUUAACCGAUAAAAUAGAGAAAUUAUGACUGAAUAUUUAGUUUUAUACUUAUUCGAAUCGGAUAAACAGGGUAAAAAAUGAUGGUUCGAAAAUAUUCAUUUUUUUAAGCUUGAUAUUUAGUUGUACGCAGAUUGAGAUUAUUCUAGUGAUUUGGAGAGCCAUUAAAUAGCUUUUAGUUAAUAAUUGGAAAUACAUACUACAUAAUUGGAAAGUUUACAUAACAAAUCGAUAGUGAGCGUUAACUGCUAGUAGAAUCAAUAGAAAAUGAAACAUCUGAAAUAUUUGCUGGCUCGUAAGACUAUAUUUUAUUUUAAAACUAUGUUUUGAAUAUACGUCAAAAUCAUUAAUUGUGCGAUGAACGAAAAAAAAUGACAGUCAUUUAAUUUGUUUUAAUAGAAAACCAUAUAAAACAAUGAUUAGCUCUUAAGGGCUGUGGCCAGUAGGUCGCGUAAAACCACGUGCCUCGCUCUGCGUAUAGCAUUUCUCUUACUGCUCUCUCGCAUAUGUGCAGAAUGACUCUCGAUGGAACGGGUGGCCAAGAAACUUUUGAUAUUUUCGAUUACAAGUUUGACUACUUCACAUACAAUCCAAUAAAGCUACCGCUUGUUUGGCAGCCUUGCUGAGUCGAUUUUAUUUAUCUCUCAUUUUUCGUUACGUCACCAGGAAACUGGAGCAAAAAAAAUGGCGCAUGCAUAGAAAUCGACUUAC